GGAGGAGGCGCCCAGGGCGGCAGGUGCUGGGGCGCUCACCUGGGGGACAGCGGUGACGAAAACGCCAGUGUUUUAGAGGCAAACGAGGGAUCUGGGAUACGACAUUGACAGGGAAAAGCCUGAAAUUUUGGCAUGGCCAACUCAGAGUGUGGAGUCAACGCAGGCAUCUAAUCUUAAUUGUGAUCUAAAUUAAUUCAAAUAAUGGAGGAACAGUUUCUUCGGACAAAGGCAGCAGUAAGCUAAAAACAAAAUCAACUGGCUGAAUUUUCCUUCUUUACCUGAAAAACAAAGUACAGAACAAGCUGUAACAGCUCCUCAGAUGCCUCAUUUGGCUUAAUGCUGAUAGCUUUUGAUAUUCACAUGGCAUUCAACUUAUGAUCCGGAUGAAGAAGCAAAGGUAGAAAACAGGGGAAGGAAAACAGAAAUGUUCCAAUAUAUCCUGGAAAAAAGAAAAAGGAAACAAACACCCCCUUGUGAAUAUACCAAAAAAGGCCCUGAAGAAUAUACCUUGUUAUUGAUGAAGGUUUUGAGAGUUUGUCAAAACUUUUGAGAGAAGAUUUAUUCGUGCUUACAUCUUUAUGAAAAUAAACAAUAUAUAUUUAAAUU
rnacentral:lncRNA from 1 species